rnacentral:tRNA from 1 species
UAGAAAAUGGUGUAGAGGGAGCACUAAGAGUUUUGAUCUCUUCAGGUAGGGUUCGAGCCCCUUUUUUCUAA